rnacentral:misc_RNA from 1 species
AUGGAAUUCAAUAGUGGCGGCUUACGUACAGAAGGAUGAGGAUAAGAAAGUUUUGGAGUUGUUUGAUUUGAUGGUUGCGUUGAAUAGUUUUGAGCUGCGGCCUGAUGCUGUUAGUUUAGUUAAUGUACUUCCAGCUUGUGGUUCUUUAGGGGCAUGGAAACGUGGAAAACAACUUCAGGGUUAUGCGAUACGGAGAUGUUUGCAUGAGGACAUUUUUGUAGGAAAUGCAAUUGUGGAUAUGUAUGCAAAAUGUAAGCGUUUGGAUGAUGCUAACAAGGUUUUUG